UACGGGGGGAGCAAGCGUUGUUCGGAUUUACUGGGCGUAAAGGGCGCGUAGGCGGCGCAACAAGUCACUUGUGAAAUCUCCGGGCUUAACCCGGAGCGGCCAAGUGAUACUGUCGUGCUAGAGUGCGGAAGGGGCUACUGGAAUUCUCGGUGUAGCGGUGAAAUGCGUAGAUAUCGAGAGGAACACCUGCGGCGAAGGCGGUCCCCUGGGCCGGAACUGACGCUGAGGCGCGAAAGCGUGGGUAGCAAACGGG
rnacentral:rRNA from 1 species